GGCAGUGUAGCAUAGUGGUAAGGAUUUAGACUUAUAACCAAAAGGUUGCCGGUUCGAUUCCACACUGGGGCACUGCUG